UAGGGAAUCUUCGGCAAUGGACGAAAGUCUGACCGAGCGACGCCGCGUGAGUGAAGAAGGUUUUCGGAUCGUAAAACUCUGUUGUUAGAGAAGAACAAGGACGUUAGUAACUGAACGUCCCCUGACGGUAUCUAACCAGAAAGCCACGGCUAACUACGUGCCAGCAGCCGCGGUAAUACGUAGGUGGCAAGCGUUGUCCGGAUUUAUUGGGCGUAAAGCGAGCGCAGGCGGUUUCUUAAGUCUGAUGUGAAAGCCCCCGGCUCAACCGGGGAGGGUCAUUGGAAACUGGGAGACUUGAGUGCAGAAGAGGAGAGUGGAAUUCCAUGUGUAGCGGUGAAAUGCGUAGAUAUAUGGAGGAACACCAGUGGCGAAGGCGGCUCUCUGGUCUGUAACUGACGCUGAGGCUCGAAAGCGUGGGGAGCAAACAGG
rnacentral:rRNA from 1 species